rnacentral:misc_RNA from 1 species
AACGCACCUUGCGCUCCUUGGUAUUCCGAGGAGCAUGCCUGUUUGAGUAUCAUGAAAUCAUCAACCCCCGCCUUCUUUGUUGAAGGUCGGAGGCUUGGAGUUGGGGGGAUUACUGCCGGUCGCGUCAAGCGGUCGGCUCCCCUUGAAUGCAUUAGCUGGGCGCCACGGUACGGCGGUUCACGGUGUGAUAGAUUAUCUACACCCACGGGACCUCGAACCGGUCGAGCUUCUAACCGUCCCCCUCGUCGGGACAACCCCUUUGAAAUCCGAUCUCAAAUCAGGUAGGACUACCCGCUGAACUUAA